rnacentral:rRNA from 1 species
UACGAGAGGCCCAAACGUUAUUCGGAUUUACUGGGCUUAAAGAGUUCGUAGGCGGCUUGGAAAGCGGGGUGUGAAAGCCCUCGGCUUAACCGAGGAAUUGCGCUCCAAACUACCGAGCUUGAGGAGGCUAGAGGUGAGCAGAACUGAUGGUGGAGCGGUGAAAUGCGUUGAUAUCAUCAGGAAUACCGGAGGCGAAGGCGGCUCACUGGGACCUUUCUGACGCUGAGGAACGAAAGCUAGGGGAGCAAACGGG